rnacentral:rRNA from 1 species
GCCUGAAUCAGUGUGUGUGUUAGUGGAAGCGUCUGGAAAGGCGCGCGAUACAGGGUGACAGCCCCGUACACAAAAAUGCACAUACUGUGAGCUCGAUGAGUAGGGCGGGACACGUGGUAUCCUGUCUGAAUAUGGGGGGACCAUCCUCCAAGGCUAAAUACUCCUGACUGACCGAUAGUGAACCAGUACCGUGAGGGAAAGGCGAAAAGAACCCCGGCGAGGGGAGUGAAAAAGAACCUGAAACCGUGUACGUACAAGCAGUGGGAGCCUCUUAAUGGGGUGACUGCGUACCUUUUGUAUAAUGGGUCAGCGACUUAUAUUCUGUAGCAAGGUUAACCGAAUAGGGGAGCCGAAGGGAAACCGAGUCUUAACUGGGCGUUAAGUUGCAGGGUAUAGACCCGAAACCCGGUGAUCUAGCCAUGGGCAGGUUGAAGGUUGGGUAACACUAACUGGAGGACCGAACCGACUAAUGUUGAAAAAUUAGCGGAUGACUUGUGGCUGGGGGUGAAAGGCCAAUCAAACCGGGAGAUAGCUGGUUCUCCCCGAAAGCUAUUUAGGUAGCGCCUCGUGAAUUCAUCUCCGGGGGUAGAGCACUGUUUCGGCAAGGGGGUCAUCCCGACUUACCAACCCGAUGCAAACUGCGAAUACCGGAGAAUGUUAUCACGGGAGACACACGGCGGGUGCUAACGUCCGUCGUGAAGAGGGAAACAACCCAGACCGCCAGCUAAGGUCCCAAAGUCAUGGUUAAGUGGGAAA